UGUGCAUAGUGCAGGAAACCAGACCAUUGUCUACCUUGUUCCACAACUUCACUAAAUAAAGAAGAAAAGAUGUGUAAAGGAUCAUCAAAAUCUCCUAAAGUUAAGGGCCUUAAAGAGGAGUGCUGCAGGAAUCAAUGAAGAUUGUCCAGGACUGUUUUUAAAUGAUUCAUACCAAUAUAUGCGCCAACUAUGAUCAUAUUAUAUGUGAGCAGCUGAAACAGACUGUUGAGCCUCCGUUUUGGACUGUACUGUGUGUGCCUGAAUAAACCAACUUUCCUUUUACCUUGGACUGCGAGUGAUCUUCUCUGUCAAGAGGGAAGUUCUUUUAAAUCUACCCACUAAAGAAGUGAUUACCAAGAGGGAAGAACCGUGAAGAAGGGGGAAGAAUAAAUGCUAGAGAGUGGGAUCGAGAAGACAAUAAGAGGGGAAGGCAAAGGAAAUCUGAGAAGUGAGUUUAAUAAGAAAGCAGUUGAUACAGUGAAGACCAGAUCAGUGCUAUUGAUAUAUAACAGUCUAAUAUAUGGCCCAAUUGGUUGUUUUUUUUUUAAAUUAAAUUACUUUUUGUGCUAUAACUAUACAUUUUGAUUUCAUUGUUAAGA